rnacentral:sRNA from 1 species
GGAUUGCGUGAGGGAUAGCAGUGGAAAGCCCACAGCAAAGUGUAGCGUUAGCGGAACUUUGUGAGGACUUCUAACGGAUAGCCCGACCCUUG